rnacentral:rRNA from 1 species
UACGAAGGGGGCUAGCGUUGCUCGGAUUUACUGGGCGUAAAGGGCGCGUAGGCGGACAGUUUAGUCAGAGGUGAAAGCCCAGGGCUCAACCUUGGAAUUGCCUUUGAUACUGGCUGUCUUGAGUACGGGAGAGGUGAGUGGAACUCCGAGUGUAGAGGUGAAAUUCGUAGAUAUUCGGAAGAACACCAGUGGCGAAGGCGACUCACGGGCCCGUUACUGACGCUGAGGCGCGAAAGCGUGGGGAGCAAACAGG